rnacentral:rRNA from 1 species
GACGAACGCUGGCGGCGUGCUUAACACAUGCAAGUCGAACGGAAAGGUCCUGCUUUUGUGGGGUGCUCGAGUGGCGAACGGGUGAGUAACACGUGAGUAACCUGCCCUUGACUUUGGGAUAACUUCAGGAAACUGGGGCUAAUACCGGAUAGGAGCUCCUGCUGCAUGGUGGGGGUUGGAAAGUUUCGGCGGUUGGGGAUGGACUCGCGGCUUAUCAGCUUGUUGGUGGGGGAGUGGCUUACCAAGGCUUUGACGGGUAGCCGGCCUGAGAGGGUGACCGGCCACAUUGGGACUGAGAUACGGCCCAGACUCCUACGGGAGGCAGCAGUGGGGAAUAUUGCACAAUGGGCGGAAGCCUGAUGCAGCAACGCCGCGUGCGGGAUGACGGCCUUCGGGUUGUAAACCGCUUUCGCCUGUGACGAAGCGUGAGUGACGGUAAUGGGUAAAGAAGCACCGGCUAACUACGUG